GAUUGCAGUGCUCGCGUGCGACGGACCAUGAGCGCGGCGCCUGCUACGGAGGAAGGAGGAUCGCGCUGAUCACGCGCCUACUAUAAGUGAUUAACCAUGCCGCGGUAAUCAUGCGGUCCUUGAUCACGAGCUUCCUUCUAUAGCACCAUCGCCCUCUCUCCGAUCCAAUCUCCCCUCCCACGCCUCAGCCUUCCUCCUCCCCUCCGCCGCCGCCGCGAGAUCUUCCCUGGUGGCGGCGCACCCUCUGUUUCCCUCCCGAUGCCACCGGCGACGCCCUCUCUCCGGCGUCUCCCUCCCUCUGCGCGGCAUGGAGCCGACGCGCUCCCUCAUGGAGGUCUUCCUCGACCACGACCUCGCCUGGGCCCGCCUCUGCCUCGCCGCGCUGCUCGCCGCAGCUGCCCGCAUCCUCGCCCUCCCGAGCCUCCCGCUCCCCUCCCCUGCACCACCGCACGCACGCACCUCCCCUGCCUCCUCGCCUUCCUCACGCGUUGCCCACCCCGCGCCCUCGCCUCCGUCAACGCGCCCCGCGCCCCCCGCUUCCCCUUCGCCAGCCCCACCAAGGACGACGGGGCCAGAAACAGAAGGAACCAGGGGAGGAAGGGGACCAUGCCGCCGACACGGAGGACGCGAAUUCGCAGAGUGGCGAGAAGGUGCGCGUGGAGCUGCAGUGGGAGCUCGAGAAGGAGCGCAGCGCCACAGCGUCCACUGCCGAGGAGGCCAUGGCCAUGAUCCUGUGCCUGCAGAAGGAGAAGUCUGCGCUCGAGAUCGAGGCCCGCCAGCAGCGACGUACCGCCGACGAGCGCUUUGCCACCGCCCUCAGCAAGGAGUCCAUCGUCGUCGUUGAGGGCGUCUUUUCCCUCCCCAAGGAGCCCCUCAAGGCCGCGACACAGUAGAUGUGAUUUGCAGGUGGAGAUUCAAGUAAGGAAGAUAUAUUGCAUCAAUAGGGCUAUCCCAACCCUUCCAAUUAACCUUGAAGAUGCGGCUCGGAGUGAGGCGGAGUUUGAGAAGGCUGAACAGGCUGGAGAAAAACUUUUUCGUGUUGGUCAAGAUCCCUGCUUGAACUACAGAGCUAUUGAUCUACGAACACCUGCGAACCAAGCAAUAUUCCGGAUCCAGUGUCAAGUCAAAAAUGUGAGUGUUUGAUACGAUAUGUACUGUUGUUCUUUUAUUGACUAAAGUGAGACUGCUAAUCCGGCUUGCUUCCAUACGACAUGGUGAAUUCUUUGAAGACAAGGGUGCAUGGGCUGAAGAUCAUUUUGGAUGAGAUCUACCAUUGAGAAGGAAGUCAAACAGGACCUGAUGUGGCCAUUUACUUCUUGUUUGGAUGGCUGAUCCGCUGGGCAGGUGGCUCGCGGAAUACUGCUGCCAGCCAGCCAGCCCAGCCAACCGAACAAGUCAUUAGAUAGUUGUAUAGUAUAGUGUCAUAUAUGAACAAGCAUAUGUGAAAAUAAUCUUAUAAAAAAUGUACCAUAAAAAUACUGCCCUUCAUACAUGAAUUCAGUUAAAGUAUUAAUUUUGAAUACUAA